GAUGAACGCUGGCGGCGUGCCUAAUACAUGCAAGUCGAGCGAACGGACGAGAAGCUUGCUUUUCUGAUGUUAGCGGCGGACGGGUGAGUAACACGUGGAUAACCUACCUAUAAGACUGGGAUAACUUCGGGAAACCGGAGCUAAUAUCGGAUAAUAUUUUGAACCGCAUGGUUCAAAAGUGAAAGACGGUCUUGCUGUCACUUAUAGAUGGAUCCGCGCUGCAUUAGCUAGUUGGUAAGGUAACGGCUUACCAAGGCAACGAUGCAUGGCCGACCUGAGAGGGUGAUCGGCCACACUGGAACUGAGACACGGUCCAGACUCCUACGGGAGGCAGCAGUAGGGAAUCUUCCGCAAUGGGCGAAAGCCUGACGGAGCAACGCCGCGUGAGUGAUGAAGGUCUUCGGAUCGUAAAACUCUGUUAUUAGGGAAGAACAUAUGUGUAAGUAACUGUGCACAUCUUGACGGUACCUAAUCAGAAAGCCACGGCUAACUACGUG
rnacentral:rRNA from 1 species